rnacentral:rRNA from 1 species
UUGGAGGGCAAGUCUGGUGCCAGCAGCCGCGGUAAUUCCAGCUCCAAUAGCGUAUAUUAAAGUUGUUGCAGUUAAAAAGCUCGUAGUUGAAUUUCGGGGUUCAUCCGUUGGUCGGGCUUUUUGGUCUGUACUGGCGUGAUGGAUUCCUACCUUCUGAAUAACCAGCAUGUCAUUAAUUUGGUGCGCUGGGGAAGCAGGACUGUUACCUUGAAAAAAUUAGAGUGCUUAAAGCAGGCUAUCGCCUGAAUACAUUAGCAUGGAAUAAUGAAAUAGGACGGCAUGGUUCUAUUUUGUUGGUUUCUAGGAUCACCGUAAUGAUUAAUAGGGAUAGUUGGGGGCAUUAGUAUUCAAUUGUCAGAGGUGAAAUUCUUGGAUUUAUUGAAGACUAACUUCUGCGAAAGCAUUUGCCAAGGAUGUUUUCAUUAAUCAAGAACGAAAGUUAGGGGAUCGAAGACGAUCAGAUACCGUCGUAGUCUUAACCAUAAACUAUGCCGACUAGGGAUCGGACGAUGUUAAUUUUUUAAUGACUUGUUCGGCGCCUUACGGGAAAC